CCGACGGCCAUCGUGCUGCCUUGCCGAAGUGGUGCUGCCUCUUUAAAAUCCUAAUUUCUUCUAUUUUUCCUAUUUUGAAAGCUUUUAGGUGUGAUACUCACUGAACUCUCUCUGUCGACUGCAAACUGUCGCCACCACCACCACCGAUAAGUCUCCUCCCUUCCCUUUCUCUUCUUCUUGGUCUUGAGUACCGUUUCGACGUCAGCAAGGGAGAAUACCCCUCUUCAUUUCUCUCGACUUCCAUAUAUGCAACCUAGCCAUUGGUUGGAACCGCUGUUGUGCCACCAUCAUCAUGCUAGCACUGC
rnacentral:lncRNA from 1 species